UAACACGUGGGUAACCUGCCCAAGAGACUGGGAUAACACCUGGAAACAGAUGCUAAUACCGGAUAACAACACUAGACGCAUGUCUAGAGUUUGAAAGAUGGUUCUGCUAUCACUCUUGGAUGGACCUGCGGUGCAUUAGCUAGUUGGUAAGGUAACGGCUUACCAAGGCAAUGAUGCAUAGCCGAGUUGAGAGACUGAUCGGCCACAUUGGGACUGAGACACGGCCCAAACUCCUACGGGAGGCAGCAGUAGGGAAUCUUCCACAAUGGACGAAAGUCUGAUGGAGCAACGCCGCGUGAGUGAAGAAGGGUUUCGGCUCGUAAAGCUCUGUUGGUAGUGAAGAAAGAUAGAGGUAGUAACUGGCCUUUAUUUGACGGUAAUUACUUAGAAAGUCACGGCUAACUACGUGCCAGCAGCCGCGGUAAUACGUAGGUGGCAAGCGUUGUCCGGAUUUAUUGGGCGUAAAGCGAGUGCAGGCGGUUCAAUAAGUCUGAUGUGAAAGCCUUCGGCUCAACCGGAGAAUUGCAUCAGAAACUGUUGAACUUGAGUGCAGAAGAGGAGAGUGGAACUCCAUGUGUAGCGGUGGAAUGCGUAGAUAUAUGGAAGAACACCAGUGGCGAAGGCGGCUCUCUGGUCUGCAACUGACGCUGAGGCUAGGCAAGUGGAAUUCCUAGUGUAGCGGUGAAAUGCGUAGAUAUUAGGAGGAACACCAGUGGCGAAGGCGGCUUGCUGGACGAUGACUGACGUUGAGGCUCGAAAGCGUGGGGAGCAAACAGGAUUAGAUACCCUGGUAGU
rnacentral:rRNA from 1 species